rnacentral:lncRNA from 1 species
GGGAGGAGGGGCUGGGAGGAGUGGGCGAAGGGGUGGGUAAGCCUUUCCUGGAGGUGAGCGCCCGGCCGCGGACGAGGACCCUGCGCAGGGGACGGGGCGGGGACCGGGCUGCUGGCGGGGUCGGGCGUCAUCCCCACCCGGGGGCGUCCCGGGCCGCUUCGGGCUGUCCUCCCCGGACCCGCGGUGGCCGGCUGGUGCCGGGCUGGUGUCCGGCGGGGGGCCCACCGCGAAGCCCCGGCUCUGACGAGGUCCCUUGCACCCCACCUUUGGAAGGCUGUCAGACUUUGUCACUUUCGCUUUCGUCCCCACCCCCCGGGGGCAGGUGGCUUCACUGUCUUGGAAAAGGGAGACAGCCACGCCCGCGGGGCCGUGGAAAUCUCAGAACGCUGCCCAGCUGCCAGACCACAGGCCUGAGCCCCGCCCACCCAGAGCACCGGGAAAACAGCCUCCACGGUAAAUAUUGUUGGCCUUUACGUUAUAAACAAUCUGCCGAUGAAGACAGGGGAAACCACGGCUGGAAUGACAUCCUCCCAGGCGUGAGUUUUUCUCCUUUAGGAAAACCAAAGCCCUUUCUCCUGAUUCACCAAAUUAACACUGACCACCUGCGUCACUGAUGAAGUUCCUAUGGUCUCGGGAACAGAAGUUGUGGAACAGUUGGGGGACCUGGGCCCCUAGAAUGGGGAGGACGUGUCAGGAGCUCCCUGUGUUAGGCCUGGGAGGGUUGAACCAGUCCGAAGGGCUCAGAAUUUGGAGGGAGUGCCACAGAUGCCCAGAAGGAUAUUUCCAGCUGCGUCCAGACAAGCAAGAAGAAGCGACAGGCUCACCCUCAGACGCUGGUGGUGUAAUGCUCACAGGUAAGUUGUUCCCUGCCAGGAGGGACAUGCCCGCGUGCCCAGGAGCCAACUCCUGCCCAGAUCAGGCCCUUCAGGGACUCAGAGAACGCAGACCAGCCCCCAGCACUCUGGGGACCGCAGAGCAGGAGGGACAGCCCAGAGGCACAACGUGGCAAAUUCACUCAGGGGACACCUGCCCACGUGGUAUGUCCUGGCUGCUGGUGGCAUGGCAGAGAACCAAAGAGACAACACCUGUCCUCGGGAGCAGAAUUCUGAUUUACAGAAAGAUGGUUUUUAGAAGGACGUGGCCCUCGAGACAGCAUGGCCUCCCUGGUGCCCCCUGGCAGGCCUGUGUCCGUGGGAUGCCGUGUUCUGCUCAUAAACACAUGUGUCCUUUGACUCCACCCGGGGUCCUGGCCUCGAGCCUUUGCGCAAGGCAGACCCAGGCCUCCACACCCGCCUUCGGAUUCAGUUCGGAAUUUUCAUUGCCACAUGAACUGUAG